rnacentral:pre_miRNA from 1 species
AAUGGAAUUGCUGGGAUAUAUGAUAGCUCUAGCUUUUUAAGGUACUGCCAAGAUGUUUUCAAGAGUGGUUAUACCAUUUUACAUUCUUACCAGCAAU